GGAUAAUCCACACACACGUAUCUCGAUUUCUAGAUAUGUGUCAACAUUUUAGAUACCAAGGGAUUUCGGAUGACGCUAUUAGGUUAAGGCUUUUUCCACAUACGUUACGAGACAGAGCACUUGAAUGGUUGGAUUCACUCCCGGUUGCAAGUAUCACUACAUGGAACGAGCUGGCACACAAAUUAUGCACAAAGUUUUUCUCCCUAGCCAAAAUAGCGAAGCUGAGACGUGAC
rnacentral:lncRNA from 1 species